AAUUCCGGAUUUAUUAGAAAAUACUACAAAUGUCAAACCUAAGUCAGUGGAAAGUUAUAAUGAUUGCUCAAGGAGGAAUCGUUUAAGAUCAAACCAAAGAAAUAUCUUUCUUGGAUGGAGUCUCAGCACUAGUAAAUACGUAUAGAACAAAGAAUAGAUCUCCUAAAACUAUUGCAAUUUGUUAAAUACCAGUCUAUAGAAACUAAAUAUACCAUUCAUUUGGAGUUUGGACCUUAGCUAUGUCUGCCGCAUGGGCCUUGAAAUUUUUUUGUUGGUGGCUCUAAAAAAAAGGCAAAAAAAAACGCGAUUGUUUAUAUUCUUUUGACUAGCUUCGCAAUGUUUUAUCGUAUAGUAUUGGUAUGGAUAUGAAAUCAACGACAAUAAACAGUACUUUAGGCUGUAUAAAUGUAUAAUUAACCCUUCAUUUCUGGUCAUGGUUAAAUUUUACCCCAUAUAUUAAAAAAAUGCUUGUUCUUUAUAAUUUUUCAAUUUUUUCCCUCGUCUCUUUAGCUAUUCUCCUAAGUUAUAAUUAUCUUGACGUAUAUGUAUACAAAAAAAGAAUGCAAGAGAAUAAAAUACAAAAAAAAUC
rnacentral:lncRNA from 1 species